CGGGACGGGUGGGAGUAAUGUCUGGGAAACUGCCUGAUGGAGGGGGAUAACUACUGGAAACGGUAGCUAAUACCGCAUAACGUCGCAAGACCAAAGAGGGGGACCUUCGGGCCUCUUGCCAUCGGAUGUGCCCAGAUGGGAUUAGCUAGUAGGUGGGGUAACGGCUCACCUAGGCGACGAUCCCUAGCUGGUCUGAGAGGAUGACCAGCCACACUGGAACUGAGACACGGUCCAG
rnacentral:rRNA from 1 species